rnacentral:rRNA from 1 species
CCAUUAGAUGUCCGGGGCCGCACGCGCGCUACACUGACGAAGUCAGCGAGCAUGUCCUACGCCGACAGGUGCGGGGAAUCUUGUCAAACUUCGUCGUGAUGGGGAUUGAUUAUUGAAAUUCUUGAUCAUCAACGAGGAAUUCCUAGUAAGCGCAAGUCAGCAGCUUGCGUUGAUUACGUCCCUGCCCUUUGUACACACCGCCCGUCGCUACUACCGAUUGAAUGGUUUAGUGAGAUCUUCGGAUUGGCGCCACUGCGGCUCAGCAAUGGGCUCGGUGGAUGCCGAAAAGUUGAUCAAACUUGAUCAUUUAGAGGAAGUAAAAGUCGUAACA